rnacentral:rRNA from 1 species
AUGGACGGGUACCGCGCCCAGCUCGCGCGCUGGCUCCAGCUCCUCGCCGCCAAGGGCGUCCAGGACCUCCUCCUCGUGAACCGCCCGUGGCCGCUCGAGGUGCCCCUCCCCGCCACGCUCUUCACCAUCACCACCCUCACCCGCCUCUACGUCGGCGUCUGGAAGUUGCCGGGCACGGCCGCCCUGCGUGGCGCCUCCUUUCCCCGCCUCCGGGAGCUCGGCCUCUAUUUCGUCGAAAUGGAGCACGGCGUCGUCGACUCCCUCGUCGCCAGGAGCCCCGUCCUGGAGAUCCUCAACAUCGUGGGAUGCAUGAAGGGUGGGUUGCGUCUACGUCUCGUCAGCCAGAGCCUGCGGUGCCUGCAAAUCUGCGGCUUUGUUUUGGAGGACAUCGCCGUGGUGAAGACUCCAUGCCUCGAGCGGUUCAUCCUGUCAUCGCCUUGCAAACCCGCUGGUGGCUUGUGCACCAGGCUCAGGAUUGUCGAUGCCCCCAAGCUGCAGGCGUUUGGAUAUUUAGAGCCAGGACAGAUCCUAGAGGUCCAAGGCACUGUCAUCAUGCCCGGAAUAAAGGCGAGCGAAAGUGCCUUGCUCACAAGCGUGAAGAUUCUUAGUUUGAAUGUGUGUUUCGGGGUUCGCAAUGACGUUAAGAUGGUGCCCACCUUCCUCAAAUGCUUUCCCAACGCCGAGAGACUGCAUAUUAUGAGCGCAAAAUGUGGUCAGCCCACUGGUAACCGCCUCACCGUCAAGUUCUGGGAGGAGUCUGAUCCCAAACAAAACCUCCUCUCGCGCAUCAACAUGCUGACUUUCCGGGAGUUCAAAGGGGACCGAGGUGAGGUUGGCUUCCUAGAGUUCGUCUUUCAGAGUGCACGGGCGCUGGACAAGGUAGCUAUUUUCAUGGCCAAUCCAAGCUUCAUGCGGUUCUCGACGGACGAGGCGCUUGUCAAGGCGCAAUACAGCGCUAGAAACCUGGCGAGUAAAUAUUGUGAAAAGUGCAUCAUCUGGAGUAGCCGUCCUGAAGGAGGCGAUGCUUGGAGCCUCAGAGUCGGGGCAGAUUUCUCCUUCGAGGACCCGUUCACGGUGAUGCCGGCGAGGAAGGAGGACAGCUGA